CCUACGGGAGGCUGCAGUAAGGAAUAUUGGACAAUGGCGGAGACGCUGAUCCAGCUAUCCCGCGUGCAGGAUGAAGGACCUCUGGUUUGUAAACUGCUUUAGACUGGGGCGAAAAAGUGGGAUUUAUCCUACAUUGACGGUACCAGUAAAAUAAGCACCGGCUAACUCCGUGCCAGCAGCCGCGGUAAUACGGAGGGUGCAGGCGUUAUCGGGAAUAAAGGGGGAUAAAGGGUGCGGCGAAGUCAGGCGUGAAAGGCCACGGCUUAACCGUGGGAUUGCUUUUGAUACUGGCGAGCUUGGAUUAGGACGAGGUUGGCGGAAUGUGGCAAGUAGCGGUGAAAUGCAUAGAUAUGCCAUAGAAUACCGAUUGCGAAGGCAGCUGACUAGACCUAUAUUGACGCUGAGGCACGAAAGCGUGGGGAGCGAACAGGAUUAGAUACCCCAGUAGUC
rnacentral:rRNA from 1 species